GACGAACGCUGGCGGCGUGCCUAAUACAUGCAAGUCGAGCGAAUCAAUGGGAGCUUGCUCCCUGAGAUUAGCGGCGGACGGGUGAGUAACACGUGGGUAACCUGCCUGUAAGACUGGGAUAACUUCGGGAAACCGGAGCUAAUACCGGAUACUUUCUUUUCUCGCAUGAGGGAAGAUGGAAAGAUGGUUCUGCUAUCACUUACAGAUGGACCCGCGGCGCAUUAGCUAGUUGGUGAGGUAACGGCUCACCAAGGCAACGAUGCGUAGCCGACCCGAGAGGGUGAUCGGCCACACUGGGACUGAGACACGGCCCAGACUCCUACGGGAGGCAGCAGUAGGGAAUCUUCCGCAAUGGACGAAAGUCUGACGGAGCAACGCCGCGUGAGCGAAGAAGGCCUUCGGGUCGUAAAGCUCUGUUGUUAGGGAAGAACAAGUACGAGAGUAACUGCUCGUACCUUGACGGUACCUAACCAGAAAGCCACGGCUAACUACGUGCCAGCCGCCGCGGUAAAAC
rnacentral:rRNA from 1 species